rnacentral:lncRNA from 1 species
CAAGCAUUCCUCCACACCAACACAUACAACAUCAUAGUAACAAUCCAUUACAUGUUAUCUUACACAACAUAGGCCACAAGAGAUCCCAAACAAUUACAUGUAAAGAAAGUAUGCAAAGUUAUUGAAAUCAUUCUGCCACAGUAGGUAGUAAGCCACAACCAAUGCAAUACUGUAAUUCUUUGCCCUAAAUACUCAUAGCUAAAUAAAAAUUUUCCCCAAUAACCGUGCUGCUGCAGUCGCCAGUCUACACAAUCUGUGAAUGUAAAGUUCAGUCAAAUGCGCAACACUUCUACUUCAUGGCUUCAAUAACCUCAUUUUUCUGACUGCGGCAAUUCACAAAUUUUUGGUUUCUUCAGUAUAAGAAAAGCUGUUAGGGAAGAAAACAAAAUAGUAAAUAAAAUAAGUGAGGAGGACACGAUCAGCCUAUCAAACAAUUUGUGCAAAACAACAUAUGUUUUAAUCCCGAAACUAGUGAAUGACGGAAGGUGAGUGGAUCCAUUAAUUUUGUACGAAGCAAUCCAUCAGGUAUCCUCAGUUUUGUUCCUAUACCUGGUCAAAGAAUCAGCAAGGACUUGUUCCUUCAUCAAAGCAUAUUGUCAUUCUAUUGUCUUCUAAAAUAUUGUAAAAUUCAUUUGCUCAAAAUAGAUACAAUCUAGGAACAAAAGUAGUUCUAAAUGCAUGCUAGCACAUUGAGCUUAGCACCUACCGUAGAGGAAGCUUGGAGAAAGAGUAGAGGAGGAAGAAGGGAGCAAGAGAAUUGUACUGGCCAGGAAAACCUUGUUCCGAUCAUAUUAAAUAUGAAAGAAACUAAUUACAAUAGCCCCUAGAAUCCUAGUCCAAAUCAGGUAUCAAAAUGAAAAGCAGAAUCCUACUCAGGAUCCUCGCUUGUAUUUUAUGCAAAGUCGGUGUAAUUUAUGAUCUAUAGAUGAGGCAUCUUGAGUAUUUCUAUAGAAUUAGAGCCAGCUAAAAUCCCUUAGAGACCUCUAGUUAUGAAAAGAAAUUCUACAAUAUCUGAGAGCCCUAUCUCUCCUUCACAUAUUAUUUUCAUUUUGCAAAAGCAAUCACUUUUUCAUGUUUUUGUUUCUCCUUUAAGUUACUUUCAUUUUAAAGCAAGGACCCCUUCAAUUACUAGAUAAAUGGUAUCGAAAAAUUGUGAAAUUUAUUUUUUAGGUACUUUAAAUAUUCUAGAUCAAGUAUAACGGAGCCGAUCAUUGAUUCGGAAAUUCUAACAUCGAAAACAACUUGAUAACACGGAGACCACCGUGCUUCUAAAAGCAAACAAACAUAGCUCAAGGAAAAACAAAUAAGAACAAAAAAACAUAGAACUCAGAAAUCACACUUACUAUCUCUUCAAUUACCUUUCUGUUUUUGUGAAAAAAUUUUCUGUUUUUUGUCGCUAUCAUAUACAUCUUUUGCAAUAAAGUUGAGACCCAAACAUCAGGAAUUUAAAGUGCAAAAAUAAUGUCUAAGCACACGGAAUGAAGUGGUGAGUAAUCAAAAGGCAAGAAUCAUGAAAAUAUUUGAAUAAAUGAAGAGUAUGAAACAGAAGGACAAAGAAAAAGUUCAAUCAUUUAUUUGUGUUUGAUAUUCAACAAAAAAAAAAAAAAAUGCUAUCAUACCAUAGUCUCCAUGAUUCAAGCAUAGUAGUGCACCGGUACUUCUAGCUGACGAAGCUUUGGGCAACCAGAUAUGAACAAUUCAGGCCGGGAUGCAGAGUUCCAUAGCCAAUCUGGCAAAGUCUCCAAAUUUCUACAGUUCGUUACGGUCAGGUAACGGAGGGACGUAAGAUGGCGCAUGCCCUGUGGCAAACUAAUCAGCUCAUCGCACUCAGAUACUUCCAACUUCUCCAAAGCAGUAAGGUCAUGCAGUGCCUCACAUGUUGAAGUUGCAACCAGCUCACAGCAUAAUCCAAUUGUGAGCUUUCGAAGAGAUCUACUGAAAGAUUUCAGAGCUCCAGGUGUGCUACACAGCAUUUCUUGAUUAAACAGCAGAUUCAAGUUUACAAGAGAAGAGCAACUAAAGUGCAGCACCUUCAGCUUAGGGCAAUGAGCUACUGUCAAAUCUCUAAGAUGAGGGAAUUUGUUCUGAUUAUCUUCCAUCACCCAUUUCUGCAGAUUAGGCAAUCGAAAGAAAGUAAGUUUUUCUAGUUUUGGGAAUGUACCAUCAUUUCCAGAAAAUGUAUCAUCAACACAGGUCACUGCAUUCAUUCCUCUUAUCUCGAUGACCUUAAGACAAGGAAAUUGUCCAAGUGGUGGUAAACUUUUCAAUCUCUUAAGGUUAACUAGUCUAAUCUCUACCAUAUAUUCAAGAGUUGACUUCCCAUUUGUCAUCCAUUGAGGUGCCCCUGUUCCAGGGUAUGAAAAUAUGUCUAGAAUCUCUAAACUUGGAGGCGGUUGCAGGGCUUCAAGAACUUGCUGCGCAGUUCUAUCAGAAGCUUCACUAUCAUCAUUAUAGAAGUUCAACCAACUCCAAUACAAUGCCAACGACGUAAUAUUUCUCUUAGAAUUCAACUGUGCUCUUUUGGCAUCUUCCGGGUCCAACGCCUUCUCAAGGUUCUCGAUCUGUAAUGCACCUUUAAGAUUAUCUAAGCUCCCUAGCUCCUCGAUUUUGCGCCCUCUCUCAGCAGUCACAAUGAAUCUUGAUAGUGUCUGGAGGUUGGAUAACCGCCCCAUUUGAUGUGGAAUGGUAGUUAACGAGGAACACCCUAGGAUAUUAAGAUGUCUCAGCUCUCUUAAAGAAUACAUGCUUUCAGGCAAACUGUCAAGCUUACAACAACCUUCAAGGUUUAAAGUUUCUAAAUUUCGAAGCUUGGUGAUGGAAGGAUGAAGAGUACAAAGUUCCUUGCAAUGAGAGAGAUUAAGAAUCAGCAUAUUCUGGAGGCCCCCAAUCAACUCUGGAAUUGUAUGAAAAUUCUUGCAAUAAGAGAGGUUAAGAAUCUGUAGUUCCUGGAGGUUCCCUAUAGACUCCGGAAUAGUUUCUAUAUCAGUUUCUGAAAGAUUGAGGUACCUUAGGAAUGAUAAGCUCUUAAUUGAUUUAGGUAGCUCUGAAAUGGCACAGGAAUGUAGAUCCAACACACGGAGAUAUUUUAAACGGGAGAAAAAGUCAUCAUUAAUCUGUGUAAUCCCGAUUUUCUGCUUAAGCUCAUCCAUUUUGCUGUUUUUAACUAAAAGCAAUGUCUGUAGAUUUGGGCAACGUGAUAAAGCACUGAGAAAUGUCCUAGUGUUCUCAUCACAUAACAAUGAUAAAUGUCUAAUCUGUUCUGGGGAAGCACGUAGGUCAUCACUCAUUUUUACACACAUCAUCCCGUCAAUGGCAUUUGUUGCCAUGUGUUUACUUCCAACAGCAUAGUUCAAAAAAGUAUAUACUUGAGAAUUAAUACAGUAUUUUAAAUUUCCUUGGCCUUCUGGGUAUUGCACCUCCUGAAGGAAGUGAUAAGAGACCAAUAUAUUGAAGCAAUGACGACCAUAAUCUUUGAUUAUACCAUCUUGUUGUGUGCACGGAAUGAAGCCAUUAACAUUCCAUAAAUCAAUUAUUUCCUGCUUAUCAAAAGUAUGAUCUUUAGGGAACAUCGUCAGGUACAAAAUGCAAAGCUUGAGAUGCCAUGGCAAAGUAUAAUAGCUGAAUUUGAUCAAAGUAUGUAUAUUUAGAUCUCCAUUACUAUGUGAAUUCAGAUACUCCAGUACGUGGCUUGCAUUUUUUGGGUGACACUGCAAAAUCCCACCUAUCAUGUUAUUUGCUAUGGGCAAGCUACGACACAAUUCUACUAUCUUCUUAACUAUCCCAGAGUCCAACUCGUUUUCAGUUCCGAAAGCUUUCUUCACUAACAGAUCAAAGCAUACAUCUUCUGGUAAUGGUUCAAGUUCAUAUGGGACAGCAGACUCAAUUAUCACCGAAUCUCUACCUCGUGUGGUCAUGAUGACAGUACUCCCUCCCUCGCCAACACUCAAAAACGGCUUAAAUGUUUCCCACUCACUUUCAUUUUCCACCCAGAUGUCGUCCAGAACAAGGAAAAAUCUCCUCCCACGCAGGACUUGGCAAAGAUAAUCGCACAGCUUAUCGAGUGAUCCUAAAUCUAGCGUAUGAUUUGCUAACUGGGUUACACAGUUUAUAAUUUUCAUCACAAUCAGCUCGAUAUCAGAAUCUUCAGGCGUAGUGACCCACAUUCGGCAGUCGAAGUAUUUCUUCACACGCGGGUCAUUGUAAACCAGCCGAGCAAGGGCUGUCUUUCCCGAUCCGUCACGACCGGAAAUGUGAACAAAACGGAGGCCGUCGGACGGUCCAGAAAAGAUGAUCUGCAAGAUCUUUUCUUUGUCUUCAUCUCUUCCUAAAAUUUCCGAUUCCACAGAUGCCGAUCUCAAUGUGCCACUCCGCCGGGGAAUUACCGGAGCAUUCCAUUCUCUAGGACAAUCCAACGCAACUGGUCUACUGAAAAGUGCACCGAAAAUUUGAUCGAACAUAUAAUUCAACUUCUUUAAGUUGGAAUCAAUGUCGCCUUGGUACUUGGCAUCGAGCAAGUCGGCGGAUUUGCAGUAUAAAAUCUCUAUCAUCUGAUCUCUCCAAAAAUAAAAAAUAAUCUCUUUCAUCCGCCGAAGCUUGUGGCUAAAGUUGGGGCCAGGAAUAAGUGCACGUACCUGUGUUACUGCGUGUGAUCUGUGCGGAAAGUUAUGGAUCAAAUCAACUAAACGAUCAGUUAAGGAACACGCAUCUUCAAGUUCGCGCCUUUUCGGCGAUGCCCAAUACGGCCAUCCUACAGUCCAAACCGCCAAAUAAAUAUUGGUCAGCUGACCAAUCAGCCCAUCGCGUUCAGUUGAUUCAGCGCGUGUGAUGACUCUCGUGACCUCAUGAGACGAAAGCUUCUCGAGCGCACGCCGCAGAAUGGCCGCCUCCAUAAGGGCCCUCUCGAUGUUCGUUCGCCCCGACGCUUUGUCAGAGAGAGAGAGAGAGAGAAGCAGCUAAAGGACGAUCGCUCUACCUUGGAAGGGAAAGUGCUGAUGUAGGGCUGAAAACUGUUUAUUAGAAUAUUAUAUAUCGGAUUGAAUUCAGAAACGAAUUCCGGCAGAGCAGAAUUCCGAUGCUAAAAUUGGCUAUUCGAAUUCAGAUUUAAGUUUAGUAAUAAUUAUAAAGAAUUUUUGGAAUUCUGAAUGCAAAUUUGGUUUUUUUUUUUUUUCUUUUUUUCUUUUUUUUGGUUAAUAAGGAUUCGAAUACGGAGUCGGAUAUUCGGAUUCCACUUUAUUUUCAAUUUACGGCUAAGCCCUCAACAAAAAAAAAGAAAAAAGAAAAGAAAAAGUAAACAUACUAUAAAGCCCCUGUUUUUUUUUUUUUUUUUCGAUUUAGAAUAAAAAUUCUAAUCAGUCAAUAAAACUAAAUAUAUAUCAAGAUUGUUAAUUAACAUAUUGAAACCUAAAAUUAAUUUUUUACUGUUAUGAGCCGAAUUCUCCAACUGUUGACCCGGUCAAAGUUCUCCUUUGGGGUGCGUGCAAGGAAUUGAUACGGCUUCACGUAAUGACUCUCAAAGUCUGCGCUCUUCGACUGAUCAAACGAUUCAGCUGAUGAGAGAUCGGAUCAGCCGAGUUCAAAACUUUAUACUACAGAAUCGAUUCGGUUGAGUGAGCAGAAUAGGAUAUUAUACAGUGUUUUAGGUUGGCUGAUGAGCCGAAUGGCUUUUAUAUAUUGAAACUUAAAGUCGGAAACUUGUACAAAAGAGAGUGUGCUUGUAAAGCAUACAGACUCUAGAAAUCUAAUUUAAAUACUACUCCUAGAAAAGGCACUAAAUGCAGAAAAAGAAAGAUUACAGAUAGACUACUCCUAGGAAAACAAGGAAAAUGCGUGGAAAUAGAAAGUGGUCUUCUGUUCCCUGGAAAAAGACCCCUCUUCCAGGCGUUAUUCUCCUAUUUAUACUCCGCAUAUUGUGAUUUGGUUAUGUACACGAUCGGCCACUUCCCUAAUUUCGCGGGCUAGUACAAGCAGAUCCUAACCGCUCAAACUGAUUGCGGUUAUGCUGUGAUUUACUUAGUGGUCCCUGCACACCACGUGUCAGGUUUUAGAAUCCUUGGCAAGCUGAGCGUCAAUUUUCCACGAUUGCCCCCUCGGUAGCUCCCGAAUAGACGAUUCGGUAGCUUACGUAAUCUCUUUCAAAGGCGUGAAUUUCGAAACCAUUAUUUGGAAUUGCCUUGUACCGUCUUUCUCUCAGCCGUCCUUUCUCCUUUGCCGGCCAUGAUCUCCCACACAUUCCUUUUGUCUCUUACGCGGUAUUUAUUAGGUCAUUUAUUGCCGCCGUCUCAUCAUCAUUAAAGCCGUUUUCGGAAUUCCAUCCGACUGCCCUAUUCUUUUGUCUUUUUUGUUUUCUUCUUCAUUACGCUUCCCCCUUUCUUUCUUCUUCCUUCGCUUUUCUUUCUUCUUCCUCUUCGCCUAAGAAGCCCUGUCUUCGUCUUCUACUUCUUCUUUCGCCUUCUCUAAUGGCUCCUCUUCCUUCUCUUCCUUCUUCUUCAUCUCUCGAUUACACUUUACUUAGACAAUAUGUUGGGUCGAACCCUUCCCGAUUUAUUUUCGGUCCCUCGUUUACAGAUGACCCUAUCCCUGAGGAUUUUUCUUUCUCAAGUGAGGGUCUUCUUUUAAUGGCUGAUGCCAUUCAUCUCCAUUAUUGGUAUGCUUCAACUUCGACGGGAAAAGGCCUUCGAACUUGACAGAGUGUUUCGAAAGCAUAUCUCACUUGGUUGGAUCGGGUAGAAGCAUCGUAUGUCGAUCUCUGGCGAGAGAUUGGGAUUUAUGAAACCAUUCAAUUAUCUCGAACACCUCCCAUAGCCGAUAACCUUCUUUUGUCUACGCUUCUUUGUUUCUGGUCCCCUGUUUCCAUCACCUUCUUUUUUAGAGCGGGACCCUUUACUCCUACUCUCCUUGAUGUAGUAGCGAUGGUUGGUUUGCGCCCUUAUGGCAUUGCCCUUUCGAUGGUCUAUAAUCCUGAUGGCGUGACCAAUUUUGAGGCCCAUCUUGAUCUAGCUAAUCUAGCUUAUAUCAAGUUUAUCCACCAGUUCUGUCACGCCCGGGUACCAGCGGAAGCAUAUCCGGCACGUGCACAGACCCGCCAUACACCUGCAGUAUAUAAGGCGUCUACGAAGAAAGCAAAUCGAUAGGAAGUAAAACAAAGAAAAUCCUAUCCUGAUAUCAGAGCAAUGUACAAGUCGAUAUAUACAAUCAGUAAAAACAAGGAGUAUACAAUCCAAAAUCCCAGCAAAAGGAGAAGAAGAAGAACUAUAACAACUGGAUCAUCAACUCAUAUACAACACAGGGUACACAAAAACAUCUGUACACAGGUAGUCACUCUAUACAAUGGACAUCACCCUCGGCCGUAGCCCGAGUAGCAAGGUGAUCGACUAGCACGCUCCUAGUAGUCCCUAGCUAGGCGCGACUCCCUUGCCACGAUCCCUAGCCUCUCCUGUAACAGGCUCUGUAAAAACAACCACCAAAAGGGCGUGAGAACUAUUAACAAUAGUUCCCAGUGGGUAAGCCGCCAGCCUCGGCGAAUUACACCACUAGGCUCAUGAUGUACUAAAUGAAAGCGAAAGCAGUAAUUGCAUGAUAUAGAAUUACGCAAUGCUAACAGGUAAUGAGCAUGUAAGCAACAUGUAAUCAUGACUUCAACAGUAAUGAAUCAACUGAAUAAUAGAAGCAUAGCAACUAUGAUAAGCAUGAACAUAAGCAUAAAUGUGUAAGUAACUACUGUACACUGUAACUGGUAAUCAUUCAUUACUGUCCAAUUUCCUUUAGCACUUUCCUUUCAUUCACAGGGAUCUACUCAAGGUAGUCCAGCUUGCGCCGCGCCUAAUGGCCCCGUGGUAGUAUACACUCCCCACGGCAAUCCACUUCGGCACCCAAUCCCGCACGGGCGAGCAACUGUCGCGUAGGCCAACUCCGGAGUGCCGGCUUGUAGGGAGCUACCCUCACAAGCGUGUGCGAAUGAGCACGAUGGCAAGCAAGCAAAAUCCAUUAUCCACAUGUCACAAUUUUCAUAUUUACAUUGCAAAGUUCUUACCCUCGAUCCUCAGGUCGGAAUUUCAAUACAUAAAUAGUAACAAGAGCUAGUAUCCACUAGAUUGUAAACAUGUAAGGGUAAUGCUAAAUCACAUGGCAUUAUAGUCUUUCCACUAGUAUGGCACUAUCAACAUAGUCAUGAACAUGUCAUAGUUUUCUACGUCAGAGUCAAGAGAAUGUCAUUGUUCUCUACCUUAUAAGUGCAUUCUACACUUGUUCAUAAGUCAUUCAACUAAAUUGAAUACAAAUAUAAAUACUUUCAUGUAUAAGUGUUCUCUACUUUAUAGAGACUUCAUUCCGAAUAUGUUCGACAUUAUGAUGACGAAUGUCAAGCCCUUUAUCAAACACAUAAGCACACAAUAAGACCAUUUCUAUAAUACAUAUAGAACAUAGAGGAGUUUCACUUACUCUGGUUAGGUCCGACCCACCUAGUACUAGGCUCCAACUAUCCACAAGAAGUCCCACAAACGGCUCAACGAAGCCCCAAAGCUGCUGAAAAACAAACGUCAAGAUCGGAUUAGAUCUACGGCCGAAAUGUCCGAUUUCGGCUCAAAUCACAUCUCGUAUCACAUAGCAACAUAAAUCGCUGUUUUGGUUCACUUUAGUACCUCCAAUUAAGUCUCUAAAGGCUUCCCAAAGCCAACCAAGGAUGACCCAAAGGUCGGUUGAAGUCCCGCUGCGAUCAACACCAACACGACAUCAAAAUCAUCGUAUAAUAGCAAAUAUAAUCGAAAUCUUGCGAAUUCAGUUUUCUAACUGAAAUCCCUGCUUACCUCAGGUUAGAAUACCUUCCAAACCAGCUUCAAAGAGUACAAGUUCAGCUCAACGAGGCUCGAAGACCUGCUGCGAAGAAAUAAUCCCGAAAUUGCAUCAAUUCGCGCAAAUAAGUGCAAUUAGUUCCAAUUUAGCUUUAUUAAUGGCUAAAUAUUCCAAUUAAGCUUCAAAGUAGCUUAUCCCUGGUCUAAGAAGGUUAAUUCACAGCUAAUUAUCUCAUUCCUACAUGCUGAAAACUCAGGUUAAAACAGUUGGAAGCAAAAUCCUGAAAUCGAUACUCAAAUCGACUAAUAAAGCGCCGAUAACGGAAAAAUCAAGUCGUAUACCUUCUCAAGCUUGCAACCAGCUCCUUACUGGUCCAGGGCUGCAAAAAUCCCUCCAAAAUGCUCUCUUGCACGUGCACAAAGGUGCUGCGACGCUCGCAACCAGCGAAGAACGCGCGCGGCGACGAAAACGAGCGAAAUCGGCGAAUUCGAUGUAAGAGAGAAAAACCCUAGAGAGAGAAAGAGAGAAAUGGUGGAGAACCCUCCUCUGGUCUCAAGACCCUUCCACAGAGCUCCUGGAGUCGUGCUGGGGGUUAUAGAUAGGGAUUAGAAGGUGAAAUUACCAAAAUAGCCUUGCUGCCACGAAUUGCCACUGUGUACCGGUACAGCAAGCAGAAAAGGCUGAUUUCGCCAGUUCAAUGCGUUUUCUCACUUUUAGCAUUCCAAUCAAUCUCUAACUUAUCCAAAAACUUGUUCUAACCUUUUAGAACAUGUAAGAGUGAUCCACACACCAUUCCACACACUCGAACUCUGCAAUUUGCGAAAGUCCAGUGUAUUACAAGUUCGCAGGCCAAUCCUCUGCUCUGGUCACUAAGAAGGAGCACACAGCUUUCCUUCUCUACUGGUUAUGUCAUAACCUCUUCUAUACUCGUUCACAGAAGAUAAAUCGAAAUUUGUUCCAAUCACCGUAGGUUUAGCUAACGGCGAAAAAUUAGCCUUAGGUGUAUAUUUUCUUGCCUUCGUAUAUAGAGAAAUUUUUUAUUCAAUCAAACAAUUGUCAUCCGGAGAGGGUUUAGCAAUUGGUUCUGGUUGCGGUAUUCUCUGGGUUUUGCAAAUGUGUUUGCGAAUUUAUUUUCCUUCUCGGUGCCAAACUCUUUUAGAUAUAGAUUCGGCUCCUCAUUUUGAUACUUAUGGGUCGACUCCCGGCUGUCCAAAGUCUAUAUCCUCAGGCCACCUAUAUGAAUUCGGCAAUUAUUUCAAAGUUUAUUAUGAAUCGCAUCCUCAUCACCUUAUCUCGUGGUCCCUAUUUGCAAAACGCGUCACUAGUCCAUCUUGGCUUCUCACUUAAUAUAAAGCCAUCCAGGGUGAAUUGGUUUCUUCUCGAGCCAGUGAAUAUUCAGAUGUUUUACUAGCUGUGCGAGAUCUGCACGUUGGGCUGAAAACAUGUUCUAAAUUGAUGCCCAAUACUAAGUUUAUUCUCCUCAAUAUGUUGCGCGCCAGUUUGGAUUUGUCCAAGCAAUCCCAGCACUGGCCAAAUUUUUUAUGGCCAAUACUGCCGUUAACCAUCCUCCCACUAAGAGCACAACUAAAGUUGAUCGGCUUUCGGCCAUGGGGAAUCAUCUUCGACGCUCUUUCAAAUUAGUACGCUUAAGGCCGAAUCACACGGGAGUAAUGGGUUUUCAUUUUACGGCGUCUUGGGACGCUAUUUGUGAGCGAAUUUUUGUUCCGAUACCGUCACACGCACUUCGUAAGGCUCUUCAUCCGGAAGGUAUGUUGCUUAUUAAUUGAGCUAUUCCCAUGUUUAAUUUUCUUCUUCGGCUCAUUUUAUUUAUUUGUAGCGCGCAAUCCCUUUUUCGAACAAGGACAUCUCACUCGAUCCCCCUGCACAAGAAGAAUCAAGGAAAAACUCUGAUUGAGAUUCUGAUAAUUUAUCUCGUCCCUUUGUAGUGAGCCUUGCUUUUUCAUUUUUGCCAUCUUUUCUUUACGUAAUUCAUUUGACUCACAUAUGUAUAUAUUCUUAUAUACAAUCCAUUCUGGCUACUUCAUUGGUCCCUUGUUCGGAGAAACGACCGAUUGAAGCCGAACGAUCUACUCCUCCGCCGCCCCCAAAGCGGCGCAAAUCAGUUGUGAAGAAGAUCUAUUCCUCACCUCCUACAGUCGUCGAAGAUGAAUCUUUAGCUUGUGUUCCACCAACGUCGAAGAAAAAUCUUCCUUAAUCAUCUCUAAAUGAACCAAUCUCAGUCGAGGUAAAUCCUCAGCCUAUUUUGAUUGACUCCUCUUCUUCUAAUGUUUCAAACGGAUCACCUCCACUUUCUCCUUCGGUAAAACAGACGCCUUAGGGAAGAAGUUCUCACAUCUGUUUCACUUCGUCCUUGGGGAAGAAAAUGUCUGAUUCUGAAAGACAAGCUCCCCAAGAAGCUCGUCUUGACAAGAAGCGAGAAGCGGAACGAAAGCAGGCAAAAAUUGAGAAAGAUGUGGAGAAGGCAAGAAAAACGAAUGAAAUGGCAAAGAUGUCAAUUCCGAAGGAAAUAGAAGAAGACAGAGGUGAGGGAGAAAGAAGUAGAAAAUAAGAAGAAAUAAGAAGAAUAGAAAAAGAGGAACAAGGAAAAGAGAAAGAGAGUGAAGAGAAACAGAUAAAAGAGGAUGGUAAAGAAAAAGAAAUGAAUACAGUUCCUACUUCCGAACCUUCAGCUGAAGCUUCAACAUCAGCUCCUUUACUAGUGUCUUAACCAGCAGACCCGUUGACUAUUUCUCUUCAAGACUUAUUGGCUUCAAGCCCGUAUUCAAAUGAAGAGGAAGAUUUCUCUGCCGUUAUGUCGGCUGACACUCAACAAAGAUUAAAUGAGUGUCUAAAAUUAUAUAGUAGUGGUCUUCCUUUUUUGGCUCGGAAUACGGAACAAUUCGAUCGGCUUGGGGCCGUCCUGCUUGACCUAGUAGACCAGUCGGAUCUUUCUUCUGCAGGUAAAUAUUUUGCAGAAACAUUGUCCUCUCAACUCUCUUCCUUUUUGACUCGGCAACAAACCCUUUCUGGCAAGUUCUUAUCUUUGGAUCACCACUUCAACCGAGUUAAUCAUUUCAAGAUGAAAAUUCCCGAAGUGGCAAUUCCAAUUGCUGAUUUGAGUCAACAAGAUAAUUCUCUAAGAAAACCAAGAAUCGGCUCUUCGACAGUGUAUCUCUAAUCUCAAAGAAGAACUUGCUGCAGCCGAAUCGGCCCUGGCCCAAAAAUCUGAGCAACGCACGCUUGUACAAGCUCAACUAAAAAUCAAGAAGGACGAAGGGGUGAGGCUUCAUGAUCAAGUAUCCCAGCUUUAUAAGCUUCAUCCUUUGAUGAAACGUAGAAAACGAGCAGCCGAUUCCGCACAAGCGCACUUAGAAGCCGAAUGGAAUCAACUUAAAGACAUAUUAUCUUGCACUACAAGAAUUAAUAUUAUUAACGACCAUAUAUUAAUGACAGAGGUCAAUUUUGGUCGUUAAAAAUGCACAAAUCAGUAUUCCCGCGCAAUGUGGCAAAUUAACUGAACCUUUAAUGACCAAUAUUAUUUUCGUCGUUUUAGAUGAUGUUCAUCCCGUCGUUAAUAGUGUAGAUCUGCCGCUUUUUUUUUUUUUCGUUUAUCGCAAUUUUUUUGCAACCUUCACACGCAACCUCUUGGCUCUACCCAUUCACAGAGUAUCACGCCCCGGGACCCAGCGGAAGCCCACCCGGUGCAUGUCCAAACCCGCCGUAUGUCUACAACAUAUAAGGCGUCUACAACAAAGCGAUAAUUAAAACAAAAAUAAACGAGUAUCUAGAGAUAUCAGAGCAAGAGUACAACUAGAUUCUAAUAGCAAGUGGAUAAAUAGGAACUAAACAACUAACAUAAAAGUAAAGGUAGAUACAUCAAGAACGAAAUACAAGUGCUAGAUAUACAAAAGUGGUGGUCUCUACAUAAGGUACAAAACUGUCAACCUCUCCAAGUAAAACAAAAAGAGAGGUGAUCCACCUAAAGCAAGACUCCUCGCUAUCUAGGUCAAAGCGACACCCUUGCCGCGGUCCCUAGCCUCACCCGGAGUGGAAGGCUCUGUAACAAAAACAUCAAUAUAGAGGGCGUGAGAACUAUUAAUCAAUAGUUCCCAGUGGGUAAGCCGCCAACAUCAGCAAAAUACACCACUAGGUUAUAGAGGCAAAAGUAGUAAAAGAACUGAAAUAAACAACAUGUAGGUAAACAACAACAAUUAUCUUGGUUACGUUACUAUGCCUCAAAUUUCGCAUGAUAUUAAACAUGUAAAGCUACUAAUCCCUUAUGAUCGAGUCUAUCCGGUAAGUAUACUAGUAUGCUCUUAACAUGUCCGCAUGUAUACAAAUAUGCACCAAAUGUAAUCAACAAGUAUGCAACUAUGUCCAACCAAUCCUUACUAUAAAGUAGUAAUCGUCAUUUAGUGGUUACAUGUCCUUUCCAUUUCCAAUCUAGGACCUACACAAGUAUAGUCCGGCUUGUGCCGCCUAAUGGCUCCGGGUAGUCCAGUAUUUCCCUAGGAAUGUGACUGUCCCACGGCGACCCAGUAGGCCCUCAAUCCCGCAUAGUGAGCAUAUGUCGCAUAGACCAACUCUAGAGUGUCGUCUUGUGGGGAGCAAUCCUCACAAGCAUGUGCGAAUGAGCACAAAUGGCAAGCAAGCGUAAUCAUCAUCUCAAGUAUAUGGUCAUCAUGUGUCAAUCACGGUAUAAACACUAGCAAUCCAAAGGUCUAGUUUUAUGUCACAAUGUAAAGGUUCCACCGUUUACUAAAUCUAAUGCCACUUUAUGAUAUUAUGGUUUACUAUGUCAACACAUAUUUCCAAGUCCAAUGCCACUUCAUGACAUUAUAUAAUCCCUAUGUUUAGCACAUGUCCCUUGUUCUCAAACAAGUAAAAGCUUGUCAUUUCACUUCAUAUAACAUGAUUUCUAACAUAUCAUGAAAAUGCCACACACACUAGCAUGAGUACUAUAUACAUAUCUCACUACUACAUAGGGAUGAAAUGAUAUGAUACAUAACAUAUGUAUUUUAAAUAUUUUAAAAUUCAUUUAUGCUCUAUCUAAUAUGAAUAUGCAUGAUUUUUCAUUUUACAACAUAAAAUAUAACAUAGGGGGAGUUCAUCCAUUUCGGUAAGGUCAAACCUACAAAGAACUCCUAUAAUCCCCUUCGUUUGCGCCAAAGAAGAUGUCCACUAGUCUCCUAACUCCUUAAAGAAAAUUAUAAGAGGGUUAGACGAAACGAACGAACACCCAAGUGUUCAUCUUUAAUCAACCCAAAAAAUGGCAAAAUUCACAUUGUGUGGUGAAAAGCUCUCUCAAUCUCUAAAUGGGAGCUAGAACCCUUCAAAUCCAAUCUAAAGGAAGGUUCUAAACCAAUCAAUUAGAUUCCAAAAGCUACAAAUCUAAAUUCCCAAAUAAUCCCUAGAUUUCUCAUUUCUAGAUUUAUAUGCAAAAAUCCUCCAAAAACAUGAUCUAAAGAGAAGAUCAAGCAUACUAACCUCUCUUGAAGUCCAAAACCUACCUAGAAAGGUGCUAGAGUUGAAGUUCUCCUCUCCAACAAGCUCCAAAUAAAGCUCGAAUGCUUCUCCAAUGGUGGAAACCCAACAUAAAGCAAGGAGGAGAGGAAAAGAGAGAUCAAAACAAGUUAAAACUAAGAGAAAUGGGAAAAAAACCAAGGGAGAGGGUCCUUACCUGUGUUCUCCACGAUUUAGGGCUCAAAAAAGCCAUCCAAGGGGCUGUGGGGGGUUAAAUAGAGAUGCAACAAUCUCAAAAAGACCCUCCAACAACGUGCAGUCUGCACUGCACUGUGUACCGGUGACACGGAAAAAUGUACCGGUGGGAAAGAGUACCGGUGACACGGGAAAGAGUACCGAUACCAGGCAGCAGUACACGCAAACCCGAGCCUCUGGUUGGCGAGAAAAUGCACUAGAUACCGGUACCAGCCCGAUACUGUACCGGUACUCAGCCUGCAGAGUCAAACCCGAGAGCAAUCCAAAAUCUGCACUUUUGAAGUUUUGGUGCUAAGUUUUAAUCUCUACUCCUCGGGAUGCGAGUCAUAGGUCGAAACAUAGUCAACGACCCUUCAAAAUACCUGAAAAAACUCAUAACACAGAUCAAACACUCGAACCUUGCAAUUUGCUAAAGUUCAUUAUGUUACACAAAGUCACCCCCCUCUCUCUCUGUUCUUUUUAUCUUUCUCUCUCUCUCUCUCUCUCUCUCGCAUCCCCUCAAACCUUUGGCCUUUUCUUCACCUACCCCAUUUUCCCUCUUUCCCAUUUACAGAGUCAUCCCCAUCUCUCUCUCUGUUCUUUCUCUCUCUCUCUCUCUCGCGCCCCUUCCACAAACCCUUUGCUCCUCUUCACCUUCCCGCUUCUCCUCCUUUCCCAAAAGUAAUCUUGCACCCCACCAGAUCCACACCUUGUCAUCGGUCUGUCGGCACGGGCUCGCGAGUGACGGCGCAUGCGAGCUAGCGACGACGCGCGAUAAGAAGCGGAUCUUGGACGCGAGCGAGCCCUCUGUCGGCCUGAAGCAGAUCCUGGAUGCGCUAGCCUCUCUCACUAGUUCGUCGAUGCGCUAGCAUCUCUCACUAGUAUUUGUAAAUUAUUUUUUUCAUUUUCCAAUUUUUUUUGUGUUGUUUCUUAAGCUUUCAUAUAUAUAGCAUUUUUAGUCUCUGACUAUUCAAAAAUAUUAUAUUUUUAUGCACAAUGAUAUUUAACCAUGUUUGGAAUAAAUUGAAAUAAGUGAAUCAUUUAGUAGAAGGAUAAAAUGAUCAUUUUAUAAGAAAAAUUAGGUCUAUUAUUGACAUCCAAGAACUAACAUAUUCACAUGAAAGAACACUAAUCAAGUUGUAAUAUUGCUACAGUAUAGGGAUUAUCAAUACAUUUUACCCUUUAACGAAAAUAUAAACUCUCACAAUUUAUGAACUCAACACUCGUUUUAAUGGAUGGAUUAUGCGAAAAGAAGGAUUUUGGUAGGUAAUUCAUCUGCCAAGAGUGUAAUUUGUUUAAGUUAGUAUCUAAUUUAGGAGCAUAGCAUUAUUUGUCCUAACAUAGUUAUUAUAUUUCUUCUUUUUUUGUCUUAUGCGUAUUGUUAGUUAGAGAUGUAAUAUAUGAAAUUUUAAUAAAAAGAAAAUUUGAAUUUGAUUUUGAAUUUUCAAAUAUAUAUAUAUAUAUAUAUAUAUAUAUAUAUAUAUAUAUGUGUGUGUGUGUGUGUGUGUGUGUGCGCGCGCGCGCGCCAUAUAGUUAUAUUGGUGGACUUCGGAGAGGAUGGAUUUCGUCGCAAAUCGGCAACCAAAUAUGACGAAACAAAAUUGCAGUUUCGAUGCCCCAGUCGUGCUGAACGCGUUGGCGUAGUCCGAUCGAAAAUCCGACGGACGGAUCUCCGGGAAUCGCAUAAUGUUCGCUGAGGGAUCGAAAGUGGCAAAACUAAAACUUCGCGAAAAGCCCCAUAUUUUAUGUACCGUUUGCGCGAUUUCGAACGUCGAGAUGCGUGCGCGCGAAAAACAUGUGCUACGAGGGUCUCGGCUGAAAAUGCUAGAUUUUGGUGGACUUGUUUGCAAUUGUGCCACCUUGUAUAAAUGAGCUAACUAGGGUUUUCAUGGAAGAAAACCCUAGCCUAGCUUAGCUAACCUCCUAGCCAUCAUCAGCCCCAACCUCUGCCCUAACCGCGCGCGCCCCGGCCACCUACGCACUUCGCCGGUCGCCGGAGAGGCCGCUCCUCCCUCUCCUCCACUAUCCUCCACCAAGCACCUUCCAUUUCUGCCCGUGGACUAGCCAGGGUGAUCCUCACCCUCGGGAACCCCCUCUGGCAGUGGCCCCUACCUCUGGUGACUCCCCUCGUUGGUCGUCGCCGUCCCCGCAGGCUGCCGUCGCCGUCUGGGUGCCCUGCGGCCGAGCUGGGUCAGCUUGGACCGAGCCCAGGCCAGCCCUCAGCCCGCGCACCGCAGCCGCCUUGAACCGGUCGUGCCACCCUCCCUCGACCUCCGACGACUCUUUGCACGUCGUCGCCGCCAUCCUUGCGGGCCACCGCCGCCGCGCUAGCUCCCUGCGGCCGCCUCACACUAGUUCGGGCCGAGGUUAGGUCCGCGCCGUCUCCGCGCUCCUCCUCCGCCUAGGGUCGACUGUGUCGCCUCCCUCCGGCCUCCGGUGACCCAUCGCCGUCGCCCCUAAGCACUCCUGGUCGUCGCCCGGUCGCCGUUGCCCUGUGAACCCGGGCCAAGCCGUGCAGGCUUGAUUUCCUCCGCCGCACCUCUGGCCGCCUCCCACUGCCGACAAGAGCGAGCCCCGGCCCCCACUGACCGGCCGUAACUGCCUACUGCUGGUGCGCCUGCCAUCCGGCCGCCGCUCGCCAACACGUGCUCCCCUUGGUCCGAUAAACUAUGUUAUAGCUGUUUUGCGCAUAAAAUUGGGUUCGGGUUGCUAUUUCGGCGAUCCGAGGGCACCCGACGCUUCUGAAAGUGAGCACGACGAUCCCUGACCAGUGCCGAUUAUCGUGCUUACCUCCUUUGGGGUAAGCGGGACCCCGGUUUGCGAGUGAAGCGUGGUUUAGGCACUGUGCGCGCAAUUCGCAGGUUUUUGUGUCGCUCCCGCGCUCUCCACAGGGGACGACCAUGCCCUGAAUAAUGAGCACAGCCUCCGGCACGUCGAAACCUAUCAGUGUGUGUCUCAGCCAGCCUCGAAAAUCCUCCGUUUGCGCUGUCAGGCCGUAAAACCACGAAAAUCACAUAAAAUAAUGUGAUUUUAUGUGAUUGUAGGGACUUAUAUGCAAUUGUACACUUCGUGGCUACUGUGGGUAGUGUGUGCGGGCAGUGGGUGACCUCUGGACUGGUUGUCCAAGGUCCGAGGCCUCUACGGAAAUUGAACAUCGAUUUUCGGUGCGUUUUUCAAUGAAAUCCGUUGACGGAACACGAUUUCAGUUCGAAUUUCUUCUGAUGAUGCCUGAUUGUAAUUUGCCUUAUUGCUGAGCCUUAUUGGCUGGUCACUUGCGUUAUUCUGAGGGUUCGGAGAUGACAGAUGAGCGACGGUGGAUUCCAGUGUCGAAAUUGACACUUCUGGGAACUCGGAUCGGAAUGGUUAUCCGACGAUAAUCGUUUCGAUGUGAGGUUACGUGUUUGCUGCUAGGACAUCCUUAUUAUGGUGUUGUGGGGACGCGGGUGACUCGUGGCGCAAUAGGUAGUAAGCCACAAACAUUCUGCCACAAUAGGUAGUAAGCCACAAUAGGUAGUAAGCCACAAACAAUGCAAUAUUGUUAUUCUUUGCCCUAAAUACCUUAGCUAAAUAAAAAUUUGCAUCAAUGUCCGUGCUGCUGCAGUCCCAAAUCUACACAAUCUGUUGAUGUGAAGUUCAGUCAAAUGCUCAGCACUUCGACUUCAUGGCUUUUUUCUACUCCUCGGCGAUUCACAAAUUUUUGGUUUCUCGAGUAUAAGAAAAUCUGUAAAGGAAGAAAGCAGAAUAGUAAAUAAUAUAAGUGAGGAGGAGAUGAUCAGGCUAUCAAACAAGCUUUGUAAAACAACACAUGUUUUAAUUCCAAAACUAGCGAGUGACGGAAGGUGAGUGGAUCCAUAAAUUUUGUAAUAAGCAAUCAAUUAAGUAUCCUCCUCAGUUUUAUUCUUAUACCUAGUCAAAGCACUGGCAAGGACUUGUUCCUUCAUCAGAACAUGUUGUCGUUCUAUUGUGCACUUAACUAUUGUAAAAUUCAUUUGCUCAAAAUACAUACAAUGUAGGAACAAAAGUAGUUCUAAUCAGGUAACAAAACGAAAAGCAGAAUCCUACUCCUUAGGAUAUGUACUUGUAUUUUAUGGAAAGUUGGUGCAAUUUUGAUCUCUAGAUCAGGCAUCUCGAGUAUCUCAAAUUUGUCCACAGACUCUUUUUUUGAGAGGUAAGUAGCACCCUACCCGCUUCGUUUAUUUCAUUUAGAAAUAAACUUAGCUGGAAAUGUGAAUCAGCUAGAAUUCGAAUUUGGGUCUCGGGUACCAACCAUCAAACCCUUUGCCACUUGCUUUAGGGACGGUCGGUUUAGGAAUAAAAAAGAUAUUCAUAAUCAAUGUUUCUAUAUAAAAAAAACCUAAUUUUGACAAGAUAUUUGAAGACUUAAACUACCUUAAAACAGUCCAAAACCUCCCGGAAGAAAUCUGCUACACCUGAGAACUUGUCCAUCUUGUCGAACCAGACAGAAGGAAAAAAAAAAUCGCCUCAAUCGUAGUCCGAGUGAGGAAGAUAUGGGACCUGGAAUUCGGAGGUUUUGUAUCGAGUAUUUGGAUGAUUUGACCCAAUUUCCAGACUAAUUCCAACUGUCUAUUGCUGCUGUCUUCACCCAGACCAUAACUGGUGAGAUCCUCCUGAAUCACCCACUAAAUUAAUUAAUGUUCCAGGUAUACCUUGGCACAGAGACUUUCUCCUCCUAUAUUUUCCUAUGGAAUUAGAGCCACCGACAAUCUCCCUUAAAGGCCUCUAGUUACGAAAAGAAAUUCUACAAUAUCUGAGAGCCCUUUCUCUCCUUCACGUAUAUUUUCAUUUUGCAGAAGUAAUCAAUGAAAUCGAGAAAGUUUUUCAUGUUUUUGUUUCUCGUCCAAGUUCUUUCAUUUUAAAGCAAGGACCUGCCCCUUUGGAAAAUUCCUUUCAGUUUCGCUAUUGCCAGCCAGCUUGUAAAUUCACCUUUUUCAGACAGAAACAAAGGAGUUUCUCUCUUUUGGUGUCAUCAAAUAACAUUUGUAGGAGCUUGCGAACAAUGUCAUAAUAGCCAUAUAUUUUUUUUAAAAAAAAAAGAGAAAAAAAAACUAUUUCAAUCCCAAGGUACCUAGACCUUAAGGGCUCGAGGAAAAACAAAUAAGAACAAAAAAAAUAAAAUUCCGUUAUCACACUAACUAACUUUUCAAUUAUCUUUCUGUUUUUGUUCAAAGGUAUCCUGCUUUUUGUCAUUAUCAUGUACAUCUUUUGCAUUAAAGUUGAGAUCCAAACAGCAGGAAUUUAAAGUGCAGAAAUCAUGUCUAAGCAUAUGGUAUGAAGUGGUAAGUGAUUAUCAUAAGGCAAGAAACAUGAAAAUAGUUGAAUAAAUGAAAACAGAGUAUGAAACAGAAGGACAGGAAAAUGUUCAAUCAUUCAUUUGUGCUUGAUAUGCAAUAGAGAAAAAUGCUAUCAUACCAGAGUCUCCAGGAUUCAAGCAUGUAGUGCUCCGAUACUUAACUAGCAUCAAGUUUGAUGAAGAAGCUUUGGGCAACCAGAUAUGAGCAAUUCAGGCCGGGAUCGUGAGCGCGUUAGCCAAUAUGGCAAAGUCUUCAAAUUUCUGCAGUUCAUUAUGGUCAUGUAGCGAAGGGACGUAAGAUAGCGCAUGCAGUGUGGCAAACUAAUCAGCUCAUCGCACUCGGAGAUUUCCAGCUCCUUCAAAGCAGUAAGGUCACGCAGAGCCUCACAUGUUGAAGUUGCAACCAGCUCAUAGCAUAAUCCAAUUGUGAGCUUUUGAAGUGAUCUACCGAAAUAUUUCAGGGCUCCAGGUGUGCUAUACAGCAUUUCAUUAUUAAACAACAAAGUCAAGUUUUUAAGAGAUGAGCAACUAAAGUGCAGCACCUUCAGCUUAGGGCAGUGAGCUAUUGUCAAAUUGCUAAGACGAGGGAAUUUGUCCUGAUUAUCUUCCAUUACCCAUUUCUCCAGAUUAGGCAUUUGAGAGAAAGUAAGUUUUUCUAGUUUUGGGAACAUACCAUCAUUUCCAGAAAAAGUAUCAUCAACACAGGUCAUUGCAUUCAUUCCUCUUAUCUCAAUGACCUUAAGACAAGGAAAUUGUCCAAGUGGUGGUAAACUUUCCAAUCUCUUGAGGUUAACUAGUCUAAUCUCUACCAUAGAUUUAAGAGUUGAUUUCCCAUUUGUCAUCCAUUGAGGUGCCCCUGUUCCAGGGUAUGAAAAUAUGUCUAGUAUCUCUAAACUUGGAGGUGGUUGCAGGGCUUCAAGAACUUGCUGCACAGUACUAUCGGAAGCUUCAUUAUCAUCAUUAUAGAAGUUCAACCAACUCCAAUACAAUGCCAAUGACGUAAUAUUCCUCUUAGAAUUCAACUGUGCUCUUUUGGCAUCUUCCGGGUCCAACGCCUUCUCAAGGUUCUCGAUCUGUAAUGCACCUUUAAGAUUAUCUAAGCUCCCUAGCUCCUCGAUUUUGCGGCCUCUCUCAGCAGUCACAAUGAAUCUUGAUAGUGUCUGGAGGCGAGAUAACCACCCCAUUCGACGUGGCAUGGUAGUUAACGAGGAACACCCUAGGAUAUUAAGAUGUCUCAGCUCUCUUAAAGAAUACAUGCUUUCAGGCAAACUGUCAAGCUUACAACAACCUUCAAGGUUUAAAGUUUCUAAAUUUCGAAGUUUGGUGAUGGAAGGAUGAAGAGUACAAAGUUCCCUGCAAUGAGAGAGAUUAAGAAUCAGCAUUUUCUGGAGGCCCCCAAUUGACUCUGGAAUUGUAUGGAAAUUCUUGCAAGAAGAGAGAUUAAGAAUCUGUAGUUCCCAGAGGUUCCCUAUAGACUCUGGAAUAGUUUCUAUAUCAGUUUCUGAAAGAUUGAGGUACCUUAGGCAUGAUAACCUCUUAAUUGAUUUAGGUAGCUCUGAAAUGGCACAGGAAUUUAGAUCCAACAAGCAGAGAUUUGCUAAAUGGGUGAAAAGAUCAUCGUUAAUCCGUGUAAUCUGGAUUUUCUUCUUAAGCUCAUCCAUUUUGCUGUUUUUAACUAGGAGCAAUGUCCGUAGAUUGUGACAUUGUGAUAAAUCACUGGGAAAUGUCCUAGUAUCCUCAUCACAUAACAAUGAUGAGAGGCGGAUCGUUUUUGGGCGAGCAAACGGGCGACUAGGGUAUUGUACAAAGUUCUCCGUGCUGAGAGCUUGGGCAUGAAAGUAUAAAUAACGAUUAACAUGGUACCUUACUUGGUCAUAUGGAUAUUGCACAGCCUGAAGAAAGGAAUAAGAGACCAAUAUAUCGAAGAAAUGACCACUGUAAUCUUCGAUUAUAUCAUCUUGAUGUGCGCACGAAAUGAAGCCCUCGGCAUUCCAUAAUUCAACUACUUUGUGCUUAUCAAAAGCAUAAUCAUACGGGAACAACGUCAGGUACGUAAUGCACCACUGCAGAUGCAAUGGCAAAGUUUGAUAGCUGAAUUUGGUGAAAGUAUGUAAUGAAUCCAGAUAAUCUAGAAGGUGGUUUGGGAUUUCUGGGUUACACCGCAACAUCUCGCCUAUCAUGUUUAUUGCUAAGGGCAAGCCUCGACACUUCCCUACUAUCUUCUUACCUAUCGCAGAGAAGGCCCUAAAAUCCACCUUUGUUUCUGUUCCAAAAGCUUUCUUCACUAACAGAUCAAAGCAUACAUCUUCAGGUAAUGGUUCCAGCAUAUAUGGAACACCUGACUCAGCUAUCAUUGUAUUUGUACCUUCUUCCCAGUUUACAGUCGUGAUGAUUGUACUCCCUUCCUCGCCGACACUCAAAAGUGAUCUUAGUAGCUCCCACCCAUCAUAAUUUACACUCAAGACGUCGUCCAGCACAAGGAAAAAUUUCCUACCGUGCAGGACUUGGCGAAGAUUAUCAUACAGCUUAUCCACUGAUCCUAAAUCUAGCAUACGAUUAGCCGAACGGAUUGCGCACUUUAUAAUCUUCAUCACAAUCAGCUCGACAUCAAAAUCUUCAGGCACGGCGACCCACAUUCGGCAGUCGAAGUAUUUCUUCACACGCGGGUCAUUGUAAACCAGCCGAGCAAGUGCUGUCUUUCCCGAUCCCUCACUGCCGGAGAUAUGAACCAAACGGAGGUGGUCACUGUUGGAAAUACGAACAACACUGAGAAUGAUUUGAAAGAUUAUUUCUUUGUUUUCGUCUCUGCCUAAAAUUUCAGAUUCCGCAGCAAAGAAUUCGAGGCGCUUUAGCAAAUUCCCGAAAAUGCGAAGCAGCGUCUUCAGGCCGCAGCCAACGUCGUAAUCCUCUUCCAUGAGGCGAAUCCCAUCGUCGAGAGAUCCAUGCGGAUAUUCACGGACCAAAUCGACGAAACGAUCAGAGAAGCAACACGCAUCUUCAAUUUCCUUAUGCCAAUACCGCUCUGCCCGAUCCGGCAAUCCAGCAGUCGGAACCGCCAGAUAAAUUUCGGUCAGCCGUCCAAUCAGCCGAUCGAGUUCGGCUCCGAAGCCAGCCCGCGAGACGAAUUCCGUGACCACCUCAGAAGAAAGCCGCUGGCGGGUACGCUCCAGAACGGCCGCCACCUCCGGAACGACCGGCACCUCCAGAACGGCCGCCACAUCUUGAAGGGCCAUUCGAUGUUUUGCUCUCCCCGACGCUUCUAAGAGAGGAGGAAAGGAAGCUGAAAGGGAAAGUGGACCUCCUGCUGGUUCCACAAUCGAUUUUGUUAGGAUUUUAUUAGAUUUUGUAUUUGAUUAAAUGUGUAUUUAAAUUUAUUAAAAAUAAAUUAAUUUAAAUUUAAAUAUUGAUUAGAGUAUGAUUGCUAAUUAUACUAAACUAGUUUUGGGCCAGCGCUUCGGCGGCGGAUCAACUUCGGCAAUCUAAAUUCUCAGUUUUGAUUUUCAAUUUAAAAUUCAAAUUUAAAUUUUGAUUUUAUAGUUGAAUUUUAAACUAUCAUUAAGAUUUAAAAUUCAAAAUUGAUGAAUUUCAAAUGAACAUCUUUCAGAGUUAGAUUUUAAAUAUUAUUUUUAACUUUUAUAUAUCGAAUAUCAAAUUUAAAAUUUUAGGUUUUAAAUAUUAGAUUUUAUAUUUUAAAUUUUAAAAUUCAAAUUUUGAAUAUAAAAUGUAAAAUUUAAAAUCUAGGAACUAAAAUUUAAAGUUUAAAAAUGUAAAAUUGUAAAAUUUAGUUUUAGUAAUUAAGAUAAAAUAUAAAAUUUUUAAAUUUUAAGUUUUAAAUUUUAAAUUUCAAAUUGCAAUAUUGUAAAUAUUAAAUUAUAAAUUGAAUUUAAAAAUUUUAAAUAUUAAAUUUUGAAUAUUUUAAAAUUUAGUUUUCGUAAUUAAGAUAAAAUAUAAAAUUUUUAAAUUUUAAGUUUUAACUUUUAAAUUUCGAAUUUCAAUAUUUUAAAUAUUAAAUUAUAAAUUGAAUUUAAAAAAAAUCAAAUAUUGAAAUUUCAAUUUCAAAUUUUAAGAUUUAAAUUUUAAACUUCAACAAUUUAUAUGUUCAAUUUAAAUUUAAAUUUUAAAUAAUAAAAAAUGGCCAAUUUGCAUAAAAAAUCCACUAGUUUUGCGCUUUUGCAAAAGUGAGCCACUUUUUUCGAUUUUGCAGAUUCGGACCAGAUUUUCAACAAACUGACCAAAAUACCCUUAUUGUUUUUCUCUCUUAUUUUUUUUUUCUCUCGCCCCUACCCCCUUCCCCUCGCCCCUGCCGCCUUCCCCUCGCUUCCCUGCCGGCGACCCCGCGCCCUGACGCCCCCGCGCCGAACCUCGACGAGGAUGACGACGAGGAGCGGGACAAGGCUGACGUGUGGUUCCUCGUCGGCGACGGCGAGGGCAAGGCCGUCCUCUGCGUCUGCUCCGCCAUCGCCGCCCUCUCCAAGCCCCUCCGCCAUCGUCUGCUGCGUCUGCUCCGCCAUCGUCGCCGAAGUUGCAGGGGCGGAGCAAGCUCCUCGUCAAGCUCAAGGUCGAGGAGUCCCCGAUCGUCUCCCUCUUCACGCGAAGCUCCGCCGCCAAGCCCCUCCUCCUCUCCCUCGCCGCCGCCGCCGCCGAGCCCAUCCCCACCGUCGUCUCCGUCGCCGUCGCCGUCGCCGAGCCCACGUCCCGCCCCUUGCCGACCGCCUCGUCACCCUCCAAUCGCCUCGUCACUCCCCUUGCUGAGCCCUCGUCACCCCCACCGUCGUCUCCGUCGCCCGCCGCCGUCCAUGUGUAAUGCUCGUGUCACUCAUGCACCAUAGCACCACUAUGGUGUAAUGGUACAACGAUUAAUCGGUGUAAUGGGUCCGGCGUCGCCCCUCACCGCCAGCUCGACCGUCCCUCACGCCCGCUUCCCCCCCGUGCCAUCCGCACCCGCCGCCGUCGCCGUGUUCGACUGACGACGUCCCCCCCCCGCGCGUGCCCUCCCUUCCCCUCGCCCUCUUCCGCUCCCGCUCCCGCUCCGGCACCGCGCCGCCCCUCUCGCUUUUCGGGCCUGCGCCCAGCGACCUCGACCCGGCCCCGCGCCACAGCCGCCCCGCGUGUUUUUGCGUGGGAGUGGGUGGAGUAAUGGGUGACGGAGAUGGUAUGUGGGACCCCGCGCGACCCGAGGCUGCGGACCACCGCGAGCCGAUUUCACCAUAUACACCUAUAAUGGUGAAAUGUACACUAUUAAUGGUUUAACCAUUAGCACCAUAAUGGUGUAAUUAUCUACCAUUUAUACCUGGGGGUUAGGUUUGUAAGUGUAAUGCGUUAAUUACACCAUUAAUGCGGUGUAAUGUGUGCCACCAUACACCAUUACAAAAACCCGGCAGCCGGACAGCGAGGUGCCCGCGCUGAGGUCGCCGCGUUCGUCGACGUGGCACCUCCCCGCGGAGCUCUGCCGUGGUUUCCCGGCGGAUCUCAGCCUGCUUUGCGGCGGCGGUGUUGGAUUGUGCGGGGCGCCUUGCCGGCACGCGCGAACGACCGGGGCGGGCCGCGGCGGGCCGACGACCGCGCGCCGGCGGUGCGUGACGAGAUCAUCCGCGACCUCCUGCCGGAGGAGCCCCGCGUAUCCUCCUCCUUUUAUAUAUCAUCAUCAUCAAGCCUCCCAAUACCCCAUCACCCUCCUGCCUCCUCGACGACCGCCCCAUGAAAUUCAAGCACUGGCACAGAGGCGCCGAAGCUCUGCCGCGCGAUGCGCCCCAGAGCCAACUCUUACUGCCGGAACCGGGCCGGUCGCGGCACGCCAUCCGGCCGGUCAACGCGGCGGCUCGCGCGCGUGGAUCGACGGAGAGCGCGGGGAGGUCGGGGUCGGCGAGCUCGAGUCGCGCCCGUGCACGCCAACGCUCCCUCUCUUGUCGCAGUCGCUGCGUGAGAGGCGCACGUCGACCCGGGGGGCGCCUGGUCGCGCCUGCUGCGCGGGAGCAGGAGGAGGGGUCGUCGCUGUGGCUUUUUUUUUCGGCUGAGAGAAAAAAAAAAAAACGGUAAGAAACGAAGAGGAGAGAGAAAGAGGAAAGAGAAAAAGUAAUAAGGGUAUUUUGGUCAGUUUGCUGAAAAAACGGAUCGAAUCUGCAAAAACGAAAAAGGUGACCCGAUUUUGCAAAAACCGAAAAUAAGUAGAUUUUUUAUGCAAAUUGGCCAUAAAAAAUUUUAGAUUUUAAAUAUUUAAUUUUAAAUUUAGAUUUGAAAUGUAAAAUUUUUAAACUUAAAUUUUUAAAUUUCUAAAUUUUUAAAUUCAAGUGAAAAAUUUGCUCCAUUGAGAGAGAGAGAUUAAAAUUUUACAUUUUAAAUUUCUAAAUUUUUAAUUCAAGUGUAAAAUUUGCUCCACUAAGGAGCCGUUUGGUUAGAUGUAGUUGCAGAAACAGUGUAGUUGGAAAUACAUGCAGUUGCAAAUGCUGCAGUUGUAACUGCAUCUAGUCUGUUUGGUUUUACGCAGUUGCAACUGCUGCAGUUAUAUUUUUUUCUGUUUGGUAAUAUGAAGCUGAUAGUUGUACUUGUGAAUUUUGUCACCUCUUCAGAUAGAGUGGUGAGAUUACCUUCACUAAAAAUAAAAUAAUUGUAUAAGUUUAUUAAUCAUUUAAAUUACUAUUUAUAAAUAAAUAAGUAGAUAUAUAUAAUAUUUUUAUAUUUUUCAACAAUUCUUCAACUUAUUAAUAGACACAUUUAAAAUUUUUAAUUUAUUUAAUUUUAAAAUGUAAAUCAAACUUUAAAAAUUUAAACGAUUCUCUCAAUUAAUUAAUAUUAAUAAUUUAAACUAUUUUUNUUUUAUUUUUGGUUGGAUUGAGCUUUAUAUUUAGGCCUUAGCCCUUAGUAGAUUUUUUUAAAUGUUUUGACAUAAAAGGGGCACUUACACAAAAGUGUCCCAAACUUGUGUUCCUAUAACAUAAUUCUGUUGUAGUGAAAAAUCUCCUUAUAAAUAUUUAUUUUUUUACUUUCUCUUUCUAAUAUUUAAAAAUUUACAUUUUACCCCUCAACAUAUCAAGUUGUUACAUUUAGCUCCCCCCGUCAGGGUUCCAUCUCUAUUAUGUCAAUUUUUUAUGAUUUAUACCGAAAAUGCCCUUCAAAAUAAUAGAAAUAUAUUAAAAUUUUAUUUUUUUAAUAGAAGAAAUAAGGGCGAUUUGGUUAUUUUGCCCUCUUCGUUAACGUCGUGUCCUCCUAAAAAUAUUUUUGAAAUUUUAAGAGGGCAAAAUAUAGAUUUUUAAAAAUGAGAGCGAAAAGAUAAAAAAAAGCAUAUGUUUAUAAAAAUUUUUCUGUAUUUUAGUCAUAAUAAAAAUAGUUAUGUUAAAAGUAUGGCUCACUAUAAGAGUAAAUGUUCCACAGAAUAAUAAUCAAUUUAUUCUAUACUUAUAAUUUAUGGAUGGUAGUGUUUGAAAGCAAAAUGCAAAUAAAAUAUUUUUAUUUUCCUCACUCCUUAGAACACCAUAUAGAAUUUACAAUAAUUUCUUUAUAUAUCAUCAAAUAAAUGUAAAUAAAUAUUUAGUGCAAUGACAAAUAUUUAUAAUAAUUCCUUUAUAUACAUAUGAGUUCAGUUAUUAUACUCUUAUAAGCACGAUCGCUUUCUUACUACAAGUCAUUUUCACUGAUAAAGCUUUCAAAUCGACGAUUCAUAUUAAAUAUUAUUCAGAACACAUAAUUCAACAUUCGAGAAACCGAAUUUUUUAAUUCUUUAACAUUAAAUAUCUCAUGAACCCUUGGAUGAAGAGAUAUGUAAAUCACCAACUCCCUUCUAGAGUGUACAAGUAGACAAGUAGUAUUUUUCUAAAUUGUGAGGUGGUAGUUAUCACAAGAUUCACAACCCAAAGAGCCAAAAUACAAAACUGUGCUGAAAUACUUCUAAUAGCACCAAGUCUGCAAGUCAUUUGUGUUUGUUUGUUUUUAGGUUUAGGAUAAAGGGAUUAGGAAUAUCAAUACGUAUGGAUACCCGAAAUUUUAUCUGAACCCGAACCCGAAUGAAACGGAUAUAUCCGAUAGAUAUGGAUAUGGAUUCGGAUAUGGAUAUAAAAAAUAGAAACCCGACGAAUAUGGAUUCGGAUAUGGAUUUUGAUUGUAUCCGACCCGAACCCGAACCCGACCCGAACCCGACCCGAACCCGAAUUUAUUUUGCAUUAUAUAUAAUAUAUAUAUAAAAAUUUGAUGUUAUAUUUAAAUUUGUAUUUUAAAAAUUUAGAUUUAAUAUAAUAUAUUUUGAAAUAUUGAAAAAAGAAAUAAUUGUUUCGGGUUCAAAUUUUCGGGUUCGGGUUCGGGUUCGGGUUUCGGAUUUUUGGUCGGGUUCGGGUUUGGAUAUGGAUUUUUAAAAUCCGUCGGGUUCGGGUUCGGGUUCGGGUCUCGGGUUUGGAGUCGGNGGGUUCGGGUUCGGGUUUUUAAAAAUCCGCCCCGAAUCCGACCCGUUGACAUCUCUAGCCACAAGAGAUCCCAAACAAUUACAUCUAAAGAAAGUAUGCAAAGUUAUUGAAAUCAUUCUGCCACAAUAGGUAGUAAGCCACAAACAAUGCAAUAUUGUAAUUCUUUGCCCUAAAUACUCUAGCUAAAUAAAAAUUUGCAUCAAUGUCCGUGCUGCUGCAGUCCCAAAUCUACACAAUCUGUUGAUGUGAAGUUCAGUCAAAUGUGCAGCACUUCUA